rnacentral:rRNA from 1 species
UAAAUUAAAUGGCCGCAGUAUUUUGACUGUGCUAAGGUAGCAUAAUCAUUAGUUUUUUAAUUGAAAGCUGGAAUGAAGGGUUGGAUGAAAAAAAGACUAUUUUUAUUUAAUUAUUUUAAAAUUUUAUUUUUAAGUUAAAAAGCUUAAAUUUUAUUAAAAGACGAGAAGACCCUAUAGAGUUUGAUAAUUAUUAUUUUUAAUAUAAUUAGAAUUAAUUUUUUUAUUUUUAAUAAUUAUUUAAUUGGGGUGAUUGAAAAAUUUAAUAAACUUUUUUUUUAUUUUUAUAUAAAUUUAUAAAUAUUUGAUCCAAUAUUGUUGAUUAUAAGAUAAAAUUACCUUAGGGAUAACAGCGUAAUUUUAUUAGAGAGUUCAUAUCGAUAAUAAAGAUUGCGACCUCGAUGUUGGAUUAAAAUUUAUAAUUGGUGUAGAAGCUAAUUUAU